AUAUGCUCUACACCAUGUGACUUCCAUGUUACUAAUAUUAAAUACGAUUUGAUUCAUUUUGAUGAAAUUUAGCCCCUUCAAUUUUAUUUCAUUACAGUUUAGGUAUUCUAGUUUUAACUAUUCAGAUUUUACUGCCAUCUAACCAUGAAUGGUCAUUAGCAAAAAAAUACCUGAUUAGAAUAAAGUACAAGAAAUUGAAAUUAGCGAUCUUAAAUUCCAUUUUAAACUUGAGAAUUCACAUGCAAUUUUUAAAACUAAAAAGUAGUAAAAUGAAAUUAAACUUAAUUUUUUUGUUUUCCUUUUUUAAUAUUUUUUAAGAUGGUGCUUAGUUAGGAAAUCUGUUAAUUAACUUUUUCCUUCUAGGAUAAAAAAAAUUUUUGAAAUAUUUUUUUUAGGUCAAAUUGCUAAAAAUUACCAAACACAUUGAUGGCGAAGUCUCAACACACCACUAAUUAUCUGGAAAUUUAUUUUUCAGAAAACAUAUCAAUUUGAUGUCUUUAAUUUAGGUUUACUUUAUGGGUUAAAGUCCUUCUGAAAACCUGCAUCUUCUGGACCGCACUUAAUCAAAUUUGGUAUAGAGUCUUGAGAAUAGAAGCAAACAUUAUACUUUGGCAUAAAAUGUUUAUUCUUCCGAGAAGUUACGUUUUUGUUUGUUGUUUGUAUCGAAUUAUAGAGGCAAAAAUCCGUGAUCCCAAAAAAGGGUGGGGAAAAAGAAGUCCACGUUAGUUCCUAAAGUCUUGGUCUAUGCAUCCAUCGAGAAAAGGUCUUGGUCUAAGCUUGUUCGUUGAAUUCAUAAAUGCAUAUAUAUCUAUAUAUGUUGUUAAAGAGUAUGUGGGUCCCACGAGAGAGAUUUUCUCUUGUUGGGGAGUAAAUGGCUCGUUUGGAAUCCCACAUGACAAACCCGGAUUUUAUUAUUUAAGAUUACAGAAUAUUUGGCCACACCUCAACACGCGCCAAUCACGCUUGGUAUAUCUUUUACACGCUUUGUAUAUCUUUUACCAAGUAAAGGUUUGGGUUUAAGCCGGCUUGUGAAAAACUGCCGUGCGACCUAAGGUCAGAUUAGGGAUGUCAAUUUGUCCCGUCUCAUCUCUGAAACUGCGGUGCAUCGCCCCUAACAAGGUGGUUUUUUCUCGCAAAAACGGGGUGAUAGGGCGGGCUUGGGCUUACUCUCUUAAACCCGAAGCGGGGAUGGGCUGGGACCGGGUAUUAAAGACCCCGGCCUGAACCCGGCCCGUAUAUAUUACUUUUUUUUUAAUAUUUUUUUUAAUAUUUUGAAAAUUAAAAUUAAACUUAUUCGAUUAUUCCUUCCUUUCUCCUCCUAGCUUUGAUGUGUGCACAAGAUUGGUUAUGGGCUGAAAUUAAUGCUUCAUCUUCUUCACCGUAUGUUGGAGCUUGUUCUUCUAUUAUGAGUGACAUAAAAAUUGAUGAGGAGCAAUCUAACUCUUACGGAACAUUCUUUCAUGGAGACUUAAGGAAAUGAGAAGUAAAACUUUAUUAUGUGUGCAUGUGUAUUUUUAUAAAUUUUAUGUUUAUGUAUUUGGAUUAUAUUAUAUUGUAUUUUUUGAGAAUGUAUGUUAUUAAAAUUAUAAAU